UACAGAGGGUGCAAGCGUUAAUCGGAAUUACUGGGCGUAAAGCGUGCGUAGGUGGUAAGAUCAGUCGGAUGUGAAAGCCCUGGGCUCAACCUGGGAACUGCAUUCGAUACUGUCUUGCUAGAGUAGUAUAGAGGGAGGUGGAAUUUCCGGUGUAGCGGUGAAAUGCGUAGAUAUCGGAAGGAACACCAGUGGCGAAGGCGACCUCCUGGAUACAUACUGACACUGAGGCACGAAAGCGUGGGGAGCAAACAGG
rnacentral:rRNA from 1 species